rnacentral:lncRNA from 1 species
GGGCCUGGCGCGUCCGCCGAGCGCGGGGGUUUGUUUAUUUUCCCGGUUGGUAGCGGCGCUGGCGCUGGUUAGAGGUUCGCCGGUGACGUGAGCGCCCGAGUUGGGGGAGAGGACCAGAACCACCUGCUGGAGAAAGGGAGCUACGGGGGCCGGGCAGGGUCCAAACGCCUCACGUGGGCGGCGGCGCCACGGUCUUCGGGGUCACAGGGAAGAGAAGGGCUCUCCUCAAGCGGGUGGAAGGAGGGAGGCCUCCCGAGGGAAUGAGACUCCAGGCCACUCCCCCGCAGCAAGGCAGGAUCACCUGCGUCGCGGAGAGCAGUUAGAGGUCCCUGGAGUGGAAAAGGGCAGUGGGACCUGGUAGCUUGGGUUCCCUGCAACUUGGGGUUCGACCUCCAGGCAAUGAAGUAGGGAUGGUCCUGCAAGUCAAGAUUCCAGUAGCAAGAGUGCAUCAGAUCUCUGUCGUAGUGGACUAAUUUUACAGGCGAAGUUAAGUGACUUACCCAAAACCUCACAGCUAAUAAACGGCAGAGCCGGCACCCAGCUGUACUGGCUUCCAGCGCAUCCCAUUAUCUCCAUAAAUCCCCCUGAUUCAACUAAUAUUAGACGCCCCACAGGUAAGAUGCUUCAGAGUUAGAGGGGAGUUGAAGAUACCUUUGCCUUCAAAGAAGUAAGGAAUGAAACAAAGAUAAAACAGACAAUAAAAGACAAACCAUGAUAGGUGCCACGUGAAAAGUGGCAGAGUACUGCCGGGAAUCAAAGAACCGUGUAUAUCUGUCUUGGGGAUAAGGAAAGAAACGCAGCAUGAAGGAGUAGGCAUUUGGGAUUGACCUUGAAGGAGACAGGGAGAGUUUUACAGCAAGAAGGGAUAGCAUGAGAAUAUAUAUGAAGGCGAAUCAGUGAAAGUUGUGUUGGGGAAAGAGCAAAGACUCCAGGUAUGUUGAGAGGUAGAAAAGACAAAGGAGUAUGGGGCCUAAGAUACCAAAUGGAUGAAUUUAUAUUUAAUUCAGUAUUUUGAGUUUUUAUGGUUCAGAAGUUUGGGGGAAGAAAAGGAAGGUUUUUUUUUUCUUUAUGCUAGUGAUUUAUCUGUGAAGGGAAGCAGAAAUCAGAGGUGGAAAAACUGACAGAUCUACUGUAGGCCAGGUAAAAGGUAAUGAUGAGUCUGACCUAAAGGGACAGCCAGGGGAAUUUAAAGAGCAUAGUUGAGAGAUGAUGUGCAUGCAGAAUCUAUAGAAUUUGCUAACUGAUUGAUUAAUUGUGGGUAGGAAGAGAGAAAUCAAAGAAAGUGGAGGUUUUGAGUUUCUAGAUAAUUGCAAGAGAGAAAAGAGACAAUUACAAAGGAAAGGAGAAGGAGCUACUUCUUGAGAGAAGAUCAGUUUAGAUUUAGACAUUUUAAGAAUUCAAAGGGUUGUCAAGACAGCCAGACGGACAUGGACACUAAUAAGUUAGAAAUAAAGGUUUUGUAAUAUGGGAAAGAGGACUGAGCUAGAAAAUAGACUCAUAGAUAAUCAGCCUAGGAGUGAUAUUGCUGUGAGAUAAAAGAAGAAAACAAAGUCAGAAUCUUGGAAAACACCCUCUUCAGAGUCUCGCUGCUCAAAACGUGGUCAGUGGCCCAGCAGCACUGACAUGAGGACCUUAGUUGGAAACUCAGAAUCUCAGGCUCCACCCCAGACCUGCUGAACCAGCAUCUUCAACUUAACAAGAACCCGAAGAGAUUUGUGCCACAUCAAAAAGUUUGAGAAGCUCUGAUCUAGGUGAGCCAAGCCAGCAAAGAAAGGGGGUGGAGCAGAAAAUGGGAGGAGAAUAGGGUAAUGCAGAAUCAUCAAGACAAGGUAAAUUGGACUUUCACAAAAACGGGGCUGGAAGGAGUGUUGCUCAACAAUAUCCAAAACCACAGAGGUUGAAAAGCACAAGGAAAGAAGGUAUGUUUGCACUUUGUGAUUAGGUAGUAGGGUCUUUAAGACCACAUUGUUCUCAUUGAAAGCCUGGGAAGAAAGAUCCCCUUUCUGGUCAAGGUUAGUCUAGGGAUCCAUCCCCUCUUCCCCAGUUCCCACGUAUAUGGGACAUGUCGAGAUAAGUAGAUAGAUUGGACAGUGGGAGAAAGUAGUUCUCUUCCAGUUGCUUCUAUUUUCUCAGCAAAGUGAGGAACAAGAUCAUUUUGGCAGACUGCUAAUUGUCCAUCAUAAUUUAGUCUCCCCUUCUCCCUGAAAACACAGACUGCUUUUCUCAGCCUCUCUUUCAGUUGCAUAUGGUCAAGUAUUAAGUUAUAGAACAUGAGCAGAUGUUAUGUCUGCCACUGUCAGGCCAAGGCGUUUACUUUGAGAGUACUUGUGCCUCUUUCAUACAUUUUCCUUUCUGCCAGCUGGACCCUGGACACGGUGACUCUGAUUCAAUUAUGCAGAUGACCACAAGCCUCUGGGGUUGGCAGAGCCACAAGAAAGAAGGUGCCUGGAUGAAGGAGAGCUACCCACUGACCUGGACACCCAAUUAUGUCAUAGGUGCUGCAAUCUAGAGACAAAAUAUUCCUUACACUGCCAGAUACUUGCAAACUAAGGGGAACGAGCUUCCCUCUGAAUGUUUAUGAAGGAGAGACCACUGUGUCAUCUGUCUUAGAGCUAUUGGAAUCCUGGAUCAUUGUGGGAAAUGAAAAGAACUGGUUUUUAGCAAGGAGACCAAGAAACUCUACUCCCUAGGGGCUAGCAAUGAGAGAAAGGAAGCCUUGAGUCUUUGAGCACAGGGUGACAGUUUGGGUCCUAUGUGAGAUGAUCAAAUCCACAGCAACAGAGGAAAGGACAAAAGGAAAAGAUACUUCGAUGGAAUCAGCAGCCAUUGAUCCAAUGCCAACUCCAAGACUGGAACGUCGCAAUGAUAGUUCCAAGGCGGAAAUUUGAC